UGGGGAAUAUUGCACAAUGGGGGGAACCCUGAUGCAGCAACGCCGCGUGAAGGAUGAAGGUUUUCGGAUCGUAAACUUCUAUCAGUAGGGAAGAAAAAAAUGACAGUACCUAACUAAGAAGCCCCGGCUAACUACGUGCCAGCAGCCGCGGUAAUACGUAGGGGGCAAGCGUUAUCCGGAUUUACUGGGUGUAAAGGGUGCGUAGGUGGUAUGGUAAGUUGGAUGUGAAAGCCCAAGGCUCAACCUUGGGAUUGCAUCUAAAACUGCCAAACUAGAGUGCAGGAGAGGAAAGUGGAAUUCCUAGUGUAGCGGUGAAAUGCGUAGAUAUUAGGAGGAACACCAGUAGCGAAGGCGACUUUCUGGACUGUAACUGACACUGAGGCACGAAAGCGUGGGUAGCAAACA
rnacentral:rRNA from 2 species